rnacentral:rRNA from 1 species
AUGAAGAAUUUCAUCAAAGAUAAAGUACAAUCUUGCAUUAUCUGUCAACAAGCUAAACCAGAAAGGGUUAACUACCCAGGGUUGUUGUCCCCUCUGCCAGUUCCUAAGAAAGCUUGGGAAUAUGUUACUAUGGAUUUCAUUUCUGGUCUGCCAGUCUCAGGUCAAUUUGAUUGCAUAUUCUUGGUUAUUGACAAGUUCACUAAAUAUGGCCAUUUCAUGCCCUUGAAACAUCCUUUCACUGCUACUAAGGUUGCUGAAGUGUUCCUAGAUAAUGUGUACAAGUUGCAUUGGAUGCCAGAGUACAUAGUGUCUGACAGAGACCCGGUUUUCACUAGUGCAUUUUGGCAAACCUUGAUCAAAAGAACUGGCACCCAGCUUAAUAUGAGUACUGCUUACCAUCUAGCUACUGAUGGGCAGACUGAGAGAGUGAAUCAACAAGUUGAGUGCUAUCUCAGGAGUUUUAUCAGUGCACAUCCUAAACAGUGGAGCAAGUGGCUUGCAAUGUGUGAAUUCUGGUAUAAUACUAACUGA